UACGGGGGGAGCAAGCGUUGUUCGGAUUUACUGGGCGUAAAGGGCGCGUAGGCGGCCACCGCAAGUCGACUGUGAAAUCUCCGGGCUUAACCCGGAAAGGUCAGCCGAUACUGCGGGGCUAGAGUGCAGAAGGGGCAACUGGAAUUCUCGGUGUAGCGGUGAAAUGCGUAGAUAUCCGGAAGAACACCGGUGGCGAAGGCGGCCUGCUGGGCAGUAUCGCUGACACUGAGGCGCGACAGCGUGGGGAGCAAACAGG
rnacentral:rRNA from 1 species